UACGGUAGGGUGCAAGCGUUAAUCGGAAUUACUGGGCGUAAAGCGUGCGCAGGCGGUUUUGUAAGUCUGUCGUGAAAUCCCCGGGCUCAACCUGGGAACUGCAUCUGUGACUGCAUCGCUGGAGUGCGGCAGAGGGGGAUGGAAUUCCGCGUGUAGCAGUGAAAUGCGUAGAUAUGCGGAGGAACACCGAUGGCGAAGGCAAUCCCCUGGGCCUGCACUGACGCUCAUGCACGAAAGCCUAGGGGAGCAAACAGG
rnacentral:rRNA from 1 species